rnacentral:piRNA from 1 species
UUUAUUAUGUAUCUAGCAGCC